AACGAACGCUGGCGGCAGGCCUAACACAUGCAAGUCGAGCGAGGACUUCGGUUCUAGCGGCGGACGGGUGAGUAACGCGUGGGAAUGUGCCCUUCUCUACGGAAUAGCCCUGGGAAACUGGGAGUAAUACCGUAUACGCCCUUUUGGGGAAAGAUUUAUCGGAGAAGGAUCAGCCCGCGUUGGAUUAGGUAGUUGGUGGGGUAAUGGCCUACCAAGCCGACGAUCCAUAGCUGGUUUGAGAGGAUGAUCAGCCACACUGGGACUGAGACACGGCCCAGACUCCUACGGGAAGCAGCAGUGGGGAAUCUUAGACAAUGGGGGCAACCCUGAUCGAGCCAUGCCGCGUGAGUGAUGAAGGCCUUAGGGUUGUAAAGCUCUUUCAGCUGGGAAGAUAAUGACGGUACCAGCAGAAGAAGCCCCGGCUAACUCCGUG
rnacentral:rRNA from 1 species